AGGGCUGAGCUCCCUGGCUGGUGUCACAGAGCCAAGAGAGGUCUGCUGGGAGUGGGCAGCUCUGAGCUCAACCCUAGGCUCUGAGAGCCCACCCUCUGCUCCCCACUUCCCCACGCCACCCACCUCCUGUCACCUCCUACAGGCUUUGUCCCAGGAGAGGAAGACGCCCAGGGGCACGGAACAGCCCCCAGCCAAAGCAGGAUGCCUGGGGUAACCCAGUAUCGGCUGGCCUGGUACCUGGAGGUGAUGAGGGACAAAGACCUGGAGGAGUUUCAGCUUCGGCUGUCUUAUAAGGAACCAUACACGCCCUGUCCCAGUGCAAACCUGGCUCAACCCCAGGAGACAAGAGGAAUGGAGGUGGCCUCACGCCUGGUGGCCCAGUAUGGGGAACAGCAGGCCUGGGACCUGGCCCUCCACACCUGGGAGCAGAUGGGCCUGAGCGAGCUCUGCACCAAGGCCUGGGCAGAGGCAGCCUUGAUGCCAGCAGCCCAGUCUCCUUCAUUUCUCUACUCCCCGAGUACACCCAACCUGGAAGGCCCCAGCCAGCCCACCUCUGCCAUGAUGCAGAGGUUCCAGGGCCUGGAUCACCCAGGGCUCAUCCAGGACUCAGACAUAAGGAAUUUGGGAUACGUGAGUGACACAUCUGCACACAGCUGGAAAGAAAACCCUUUCUCAUUCAUCUGCCAAGUUUGUCCAACACCCCCAGACCAUGAAUCGCCAAGCCAAGAGUUACCCCAAUCCCCUAUAUCCACAGUGGUUCAGGGGGUCUGGGAGUCCCCACUUCAGCCCAGCCCAGAACCCAGAAAAAAAGAGGCUCCUGAGAGUAGGUGGCCUCUGGCUGGAACAUCUGGAAACCACUGCACAGAAAUCAGAGAUAGAUACCAGCACCAGAGGAGAGAGAGGCCCUGCUCUACACAGUCAUGGAAAAAUGAUGAUUUGCACCAAAACUUCACACAGCUGCUACUUCUACACAGAUCUCACCCCAGAGAUCACAAGUCCCUGGUCAAAGGAAGCUGGCACCAUGGAAUGAUGGAGAAGCAAGGGCAUUUGAUUGAGAUCGGAGACUUAUUUGGCCCAGCCCUGGGUAACCAGGAAGAGCCUCACGUAGUCGUACUGCAUGGGGUUGCUGGAAUUGGGAAGUCAACCCUGGCCAGACAGGUGAAAGGAGCCUGGGAAGAAGGUCGGCUAUACAGGGACCGCUUCCAGUGUGUCUUCUACUUCAGCUGCAGAGAGCUGGCCCAGUCUAAGGCAAUGAGUCUCACCGAGCUCAUCACAAAAGACUGUGCUGCCCCCGAGGCUCCCAUUAGACAGAUCCUGUCUCAGCCGGAGCAGCUGCUCUUCAUCCUCGAUGAUUUGGAUGAGCCAAAAUGGGUCUUGGAGGAGCAGAAGUCCGAGCUCUGUCUGCACUGGAGCCAGCAACAGCCAGUACACAGACUGCUGGGAAGUUUGUUGCAGAAAACCAUUCUUCCAGAGGCAUCCUUGCUGAUCACAGCUCGGACCACGGCUCUCUGGAAGCUCAUUCCUUCUUUGGAGCAGCCACGUUGGGUGGAGGUCCUAGGAUUCUCUGAGUCUGGCAGGAAGGAGUAUUUCUACAAAUAUUUCAAGGAGGAAAGUCAAGCAAUCAGAGCCUUUAGCUUGGUUGACUCAAACCCAGCCGUCUUGACCAUGUGUCUCAUGCCAUUCGUGUGCUGGCUGGUCUGCACUUGCCUGAAGCGGCAGAUGGAGAGGAGAGAAGAACUCUCACUGACGUCCCAGACCACCACGGCCGUCUGUCUGCACUACCUCUCCCAGGCACUCCCAGCUCAGUCCCGUAGAACCCAGCUGAGGGGCUUCUGCUCUCUGGCUGCUGAGGGCAUCUGGCAAGGGAAGAGCCUGUUCAGUCUGGAGGACCUCAGGAAGCACGGGUUACAUGGGGCCAACAGCUCCACUCUCCUGGAGACGGGUAUUCUUCAAAAGUAUCCCAACUCUCUGAGCUACAGCUUCAUUCACCUGUGUCUCCAGGAGUUCUUUGCAGCAAUGUCCUGUGUGUUGGGGGAGGAGGGACAGGAGAGUGAAUAUCCAAACAGCAUCAGACGUGUGGAAAAGUUGCUAGAAAUAUGUGGGAGACGUGACCUGUUUGGGGCACCAACCAUGUGUUUCCUGUUCGGCCUUUUGAGUGAGCAGGGGGUACAAGAGAUGGAGAACAUCUUCAACUGCCAGCUGUCUCGGGAGAGGAAGUGGGAGCUGCUGCGGUGGGCAGAGGCAGAGGCCCAGCACGAGCCCUCCUCCUGGCAGCCCUACUAUCCGCAGCUGCUCCGUUGCUUAUAUGAGAUUCAGGACAAGGAGUUUCUGACACGAACAAUGGCCCAUUUCCAAGGUGCAAAAAUGUAUGUCCAAACCAGCAUGGAGCUCCUGGUGUUCACUUUCUGCAUUAAAUUUUGCUGCCGUGUGAAGAGGCUUCAACUGAAUGAGGGUGGACAGCAUGCACAAGUGUGGAGGCCCCCAAGUGUAGUUCUGUUCAGCUGGGUCCCCAUCACAGAUGCCUGCUGGAAGGUUCUCUUCUCCACUCUCCGGGUCACUGGGAACCUUCAGGAGCUGGACCUGAGUGGAAAUUUCCUGAACUACUGUGUAGUACAGAGUCUUUGUGAAGCCCUGAGAUACCCUCACUGCCACCUGGAGACACUGAGGUUGGCCAGCUGUGGGCUCACGGCUGAAGGCUGCAAAGACCUCGCAUCUGGGCUGGGUGCCAGCCAAACCCUGACCAAGCUGGAGCUGAGCUUCAACAUGCUCACAGAUGCUGGCGUUGAGCACCUCUGCAUGGAGCUGAGGCAGCCAGGCUGCAAGCUCCAGCAGCUGCUGCUGGUCAGCUGCUGCCUCACGUCCAGUUGCUGCCAGGACCUGGCCUCUGUGCUCAGCGCCAGCCCCAGCCUGACAGAGCUGGACCUGCGGCAGAAUGACCUGGACGAUGUCGGCGCGACGCUGCUCUGCCAAGGGCUCAGGGACCCUGCCUGCCAACUCACGCUCCUGCAGCUGGACCAGACCCAGCUGAGUGAGGAGGUGACAGAGAUGCUGAGGGCCCUGGAGGAGGAGAAGCCUCGGCUGCUCAUCUCCAACAGAUGGAAAACAAGUGCUCCUGAAGAGGACCCAGGUGGAGAAGAAAAGAGUGACACAUCUUCACUCAAGCGGCAGAGACUAAAAUCAGAGGGAAGCUCCCCUCAAGUAGCACAGGUGGAACCCUUCUGCCUGUCGUCUCUUGCGCCUCCUGGGGACCCACACAAGGAGCCUCUGGGGACUGAAGAUGACUUCUGGGGCCCCACGGGGCCUGUGGCUACCAAGGUGGUUGACAAAGAGAGAAGCCUAUACCAAGUGCGCUUCCCUGUGGCCGGCUCCUACCACUGGCCCAACACAGGUCUCCAGUUUGUGGCAAAAGGGCCAGUGACCAUCGAGAUUGAAUUCUGUGCCUGGGACCAGUUCCUGGACAGAUCUGCCCCACAGAACAGCUGGGUGCCUGCAGGGCCUCUUUUUGACAUCAAGGCCGAGCCAGGAGCCCUGGCGGCUGUGUACCUCCCUCACUUUGUGUCCCUCCAAGGAAGCCAUGUGGACAUCAGCCUGUUCCAAGUGGCCCACUUUAAAGAGGAGGGGAUGCUCCUGGAGAAGCCAGCAAGGGUGGAGCCCUGUUACAUAGUCCUGGAAAACCCCAGCUUCUCCCCCGUGGGCGUUGUACUGAGAGUGAUCCAUGCCGCCCUGCGCUUCAUCCCCAUCACUGCCACCGUACUGCUCUACCAUCACCUCCAUCCUCAGGAAGUCACCUUCCACCUCUACCUGAUCCCCAGUGACUGCUCCAUUCGGAAGGCCAUAGAUGAUGAAGAAAAGAAAUUCCAGUUUGUGCGAAUACACAAGCCACCCCCACUGACCUCCUUCUACAUGGGCUCCCGUUACACUGUGUCUGGUUCAGAGAAACUGGAAAUAAUCCCCAAGGAACUAGAGCUCUGCUAUCGGAGUCCUGGAGAAUCCCAGCUCUUCUCUGAGUUCUACACUGACCAGUUGGCGUCAGGGAUCAGGUUGCAAAUAAGAGACAAGAAAAAUGGGGCUGUGGUAUGGGAAGCCUUGGUGAGACCAGGAGAUCUCAGACCGGCAGCCACUCUGGUCCCUCCAGCCCUAAUAGAUGCCCCAGUCUUGCUGCACUUCGUGGACAAGUAUCGGGAGCAGCUGGUGGCUCGAGUGACAUCAGUGGACCCUGUCCUGGACAAGCUACACGGACAAGUGCUGAGUGAGGAGCAGUAUGAGAGGGUGCGGGCUGAGGCCACAAAGCCAGGCCAGAUGCGCACCCUGUUCAGCUUCAGCAGGUCCUGGAACAGGGCCUGUAAAGAUCAACUCUACCGAGCCCUGAGGGAGACCCAUCCUCAUCUAAUUGUGGAGCUCUGGGAGAAGUGGAGUGGUGGAGACUGGGGCGCUCCUGACAAGCCUGGCAGCUGAAGUCUGAACACCUUUUUGUGAGUCCUGGCUCUGCCUGACUGUUCUUCGGGUCUCCAUUUCUUCAUCUAUAAACAAGCUGCCGUCAGUUGCCUCCUGGCUCUAAGGUUACAGGACUCGAAUGAUGCCUCUUGGCUUCCACAGGCCACCUGUCCAGGUGGGAUGAUGGCUGCUCAGGGAACAUCCACCUGGGCCAGCAGGACUUCUGCAGACCUUGUUGAAGCCUGACCCAAGAGCCUAGUCUGGUGACCACAGCAGCUAAGCCUAGAGCCCGCCCUGUGCCAGGCAGAUGCAAGGAGGGGUAGGGGACGCUGGCCACCUCUGGCUGGAGACCAUGGAAACGGAUACCUUGGGGGUGUUGAAUGGCUUGUGAAUAGUGGCAAGAACAGAUCUGUUUUUCACUUGUCCAUGUUGAGCUUAUGUUUUUACUAGUUCAAACUGUGCUUUGUUGCUUCUAAAGUCUAGGUGGAUUCCUAGAGCCAGGAGAGGGGAAAAAGGAGGAGGUCACAAAGGGAAAGGAGUCUAGGUCUUAGCUCAGAUGUCUCCUCCUGCAGAGUGACUCUGCACCCUUACGCCUGACUUGGGCCCUGCGGUCCUGUAGCACCUCUGUCCCCCCACACUACUCAGCACAUGGCAUUGUCCCUCCUACUUCACUGCCGGCCUCCCCCCACUGGAAGGUAAGCUCCCCGAGGGCAGGAGCCAUGUCUGAGGGGCUCGCCCAUUUAGUCUCAGGGCCUAGCACAGUGCCUGGCUUGUGGUGGGUAUUAAGGGUUAUUAAUAGGCAGAUGGUAAAGGAACUCUCCCCAGAGACAUGUUCAUUCCCUUCCUGGCCACCAUACCAUCCUCGUGAUACUGUGGACCAUCCUAGCAACAACCUCCACAUUAGUGGGCCACCCCACGGCCCCAGUGAAUGAGUAAUCUUAGAAUUGAACUCACUGGUAUUGAAACAUUUAUACCAAUGUUGUUCUCACCUCAGGAGAGCAAAGCCUCACUCAUGCUACCCCAAGAUCGAGAAGCACAGGUUGAUUGGAUCUCCCUCCCACUGAGUCACCCCCCCGCUCAGAGUCACUUCCCCCUGCUGUCCCCUUGGGACCACACCACUGCCCUUACUUUCAACCACAUGGCCCUGCAGAGUGUCUUCUAAGGCCUCCCUGGCCCAGACGGUUGUUUGGAAGGUUAAAUGAGAUUAUGUGUGUACGUGCUUCGAUCUGUGAUCAGCACAAAGUUAAGUAUGCGAUCAGUGGUAGGUAUGAUCUCUUGCUGUCACCGCUCACUGGGUGGGUGAGAUAGGUCAGAGUAUCUCCUCAACCUCCCACAACUACCCCAAAAGAGGAUUCAAUAGGGCUAGUGCACAAAUGCUAAAACACGUGAAAAGGGAAGGGCCCACACCUGUGGCCUCAAUACCAGGUACUGCAUAAGCAGGUGCAGAGGGACCCAUUGACUCUCUGGCUCAGGCCACACUACUAACUUGCUCACUAGAGCUGGCUGGCUGUCAGGAUCAUCCUCUGGAGAGGCAAGUGCUCCCAAACUUUUGUAUCCCAACUCUUAGAGCUGUCUGGUAAUGGAAGUGGAGCCUAGCGGGACACCCAUACAUCCUGAGAAGGCUGUUCUCUUCUAAGAUCUUGGUAACUGUGGCUGCUUUCUGGUCCCAAAUAAAAUAGAUAAGCUUGUGCAGAAAGCAUGCAACUGUCAGGACUGCACCCAAAACGCUGGCUCUCCAUGACUUUAAUAACAAGAAAGCUUGCACAAUGACCUUGCUGAUUUGAACAGAAGCCAGAUCAGCGGCCUGUUGUCGGCAGUUUUCUGCUGAAUGUGGCAGGUAUAUAACUUGAUUCUAGAUUUGAUGUCCUCAGCUAUUUUUUAAAAGAAAAAAUAUGUAUGCCAUAUUUGUCUUAGACUUUGUUUCUUCUCCAAAUGGCUAGUGCCCUAUUGUAAGUCCCCAGAAGCAUGAGAGAAUACUGUCAGGACAAAACUAUUCACUUCUGUCACCUUGCUCCGGCAUCCCCUUGCACGGACCAGCGUCCAUUCAUUGAUUCUAGUAUGCGCCAUUCUCAAGGUAAAGUCCAGAUUCCCCUAGAGGAAGCUCUGAUCCUCUCCCCCAGGAAACUGCAGGUGGAGCCUGACAGCUCAAAGCCUCCCCAAGGCCCUGUCCUCCAGGUUUUAGCUCCCCAGCUGGUGCUGUGACAAUAGUAGAGUCAUGGCAGGCAGGCCGUCUGGGGGCAGCUUCCCACUUCCUGCCAUGCCAUCGCUAGAGUGCCUGACCUUUGGGGAAACUCACACAACUCUCACUCCCUUGCUGAGGGUCUGAGGGUAUUUUCAAUAGCCCAAGGGUGUAUUCAAAGGCAUCCUUGAACCUGAACCCAGACAUGUGCAAACACUGAAGUUACAGUCUGCUAGUGCAGCCACUGUCCCCACCCUAUUCUAAAAGUGUUAUAUGUGGAAAUCAUUAAACUUAAGGACAACUCUUUAUUUUUCAGGGUUCUCCAGAGAAAUAGAACCCAUAGGAUGUGUUAUAGGGAGAGAUUUAUUUGAAGGAACUUGAUUAUGGAGGUUGGCAUAUCCAAAAUCUGCAGGGUCAGGCUAGAGACCCAGCAAAGAGCCUGUUGAAACUGCAGUGCAACUCGGAAAGAAAGCUAUCUGCCACAAGAAUUCCCUCCUGCUCAGUCUUUUGUUCUAGUCAGGCCUUCAACAGAUCGGAUGAGGCUGGUGGAGGGCAAUCUGCUUUAUUCAAAGUCCAUUCAUUGAAAUGUUCAUCUCAUCCAAAAACACCCUCCCAGAAAUAGCCACAAUGAUGUUUAACCAAAUAUCUGGAUACUGUGGCCCAGUCAAGUCGAUACAUACAAUUAACCAUAACAAACCCUAUGAUGGAGACUCCUAUGAUCCUCAUCUUACAAAGAAACUGAGGCAGAGAGAUGUUAAGGAACAUCCCUAAAGUCUCACAGAGAGCAAGUGGUAGAGUUGGGAUUCAGCCCCUGCUAAGCUGGCUCCAUAGCCCACCCUCCUACCUACCACACAGGUGCCUGUCUGAUAAGUGGCUCACUGUCAUUCUAGACAUGGACAUUCCCAGGACGUGGAGCUGAGAACAUAAAUUUGGAAGUAGGACAUCCUUACUGUCAGACAGACUCCAGCUGCCCACAUAGGCUUCUGUUCCUCUUUCCAGGCCUGAAAUUAUUCUCUUAAAUUCCCUAUGGCACCCACUGAAUUCCAAUAAAUCCUAUUUUUUUUAAACUGGUGGGAUGUAGCCAGCUGGUAAAAGCAGAGCUGUCUUCAAGCUCUGUAUUCUGCUCCACUUGUGAUCACCUGUGCCAAUGUACUUUACCAAAGUCUGACAAAAAUGGCUUCGGUGUGGGGACCAGACCCACAUAUCCCACAAGGGAGAGGUCCAGAUACCCCAAGAUUAACCACUUCCCAGGACAGUUAUGGUGGGACUGCCCAUUCCUUCAGAGGAGCCGCCCUCACCUCUGCUUAAAGAUGCAGGCAUGUUUGGGGACUGGGUCCCUUCAGCACAGGCAGGAACUAUUUGUCGUUUCAAAUAACAAAGAUAGAUUGUUAGGCCCAGGCAUCCUUGAAAUACCAUGGAUAAGGAAAAGCUGGGCUGUGAAGUUGGGGUAUGUAAUGUCAGUGUACACUGUGAUGGUGUAUGUGUGUGUCCUGGUGUCAUGGGCAGCAGCCCUGUGGGAGAGGAGUGUAAUGGACACUCCGUGGGAUGCCUGCUCAGCCCUCCCUUUUUCAGAAAGCCCCCCCACCGCCACAGCCAGGCUAAACUGUAGCAGAAAUAGCCAUGCUUGUACAACUGACCCUCUCUUCCUAGCCCCAGCAGAUGAGCCACAGAGAAGUUAGCAGGGGCUAGUUUCUGGCAAUAAUAGAGAAAGCCAGGUUGUAGUAGGAAAGCAACUGAAGCAGAUGGGAGAGAGAAGCAGGGAAGAGGGAUGGAGACCAUACAUGACCUGGAAUGCCCAGGCUUCCAGUUGCUGCUUCCAGAGUUGCCAAAGCCAUGAUCCAUCUGAACCCUUGUAUCCUAUGAGACAUUCUGCUUCCUUAUAGUUUCCCUUUUUUGCUUUAGUUCCAAUGUCUUUUCUGUUGUUUGCAACCAGUCCUACAAAAAACACUGCUUUCAGUCUCUUUUGGAAUAAGACAGGAACUUAAUGAAUUUAAUGCCUUUCCGGUGUCCCUUAAAUCUCUACUCCCUCUCAAAAAUGCAGUAUAUCCAGCUUCUCCUUAUAACAUCAACUCUGGGUUCUAUUGACUCCUGGUUAUCUGGGCCCCAAAUGGGGCACUAUCAGAGCAUGACCUCCCCACCACCCUAUUAUUAGGGGUCAGCAGGCCUUUGCAUAUUAUGAAACAGCAUUCUUAAACUGGGGACAGCAAGGCAGAAUGCUGGGUAGACAGGGACCCUAAGGUUGAGGAAUAUGGGGAAGACGUUAGAAUUUAGAGAUGUGUUGAACUGUGAGUUAAUGCAAAGGAGCAGCCCAGGGAGCUUUUGAGUUCUAAUGGAAAGACAAGAAUAGACCACUGGGAAGGCAGAAGGCCUGCUGUUAGGAGAAAAGAGGCAAGAAGGGGCAUGAAAGCAUGAGCCUAGACACUGAUGGGUCAAUAGAAAGAGAAAGGCCAAUUGGAAGGACUCUGGUCCUGUGAGGCUGGGCACUACUGCUUAAAGCCUGAGUGUGAGCAGCCAUGUCCUAGAAUUUUCUCAAUAGCCUUUGCUCCCAGGGGCACCUAGGCCCUUUCUGAAUAGACCAGCCAAUCCAUUGGGAGACAUGGUCUGACCAGCACCGAGAUCCCUGUCUUUGCUCAAAGGUAGGUCCUCAGUCCUCCCUAAGUGGGCAGCUUCAGCCCCUGGGAGUGCAAAAAGAGCUCAGAGCUGAUCUUUGUGCAGAGAAAAGAGCUUUAUUGCUCCUGCUCCAAGACGAUUUCUACACUAUACAGUGCCAUUGGGAUACAAUCCUGGCAAUAUCCACAAGCCUCCAGCCUCUGAUAUACCUGCCUCAUAUGCAUCCCUUAACAAUUCCUCCCAGCACAAUUAGCUAAUAAGAUGAUCCAUUAGUAGUCCCCUCCACCCACACCCUCCUUAGGCAAAACCCUACAUCCCCACUACUUCGGCCAGUAGGCACAGGGCAGAUUCAACCAAUGUUUGCUUUAUUUAAGUAAUGAAUGAAUUCUCAAGUGAGGACAUUCUUCAAAAAGUUGUAUAAAUUAUCCCCCACCCCUACUCCUCCCACCUGUUCCCACUGCUUCCAUAAAAGCCGCAGGUACUCUUCCCCUCUGCGCUAUUGACCUCUUUUCCCCUCCUGUGGCCUCCUGCAGCAGAAACACCACCUUGCACCUUAGCUAUUUUAGUGCUGAACAAGAGAUCUCUCGAAUUUCAGUGUCUAAGCCUCCGGGUUUCUCCCCACAGUAUAAGCUUGCCUCCACAGUCCCAGAUGACAACCCUCUGGUGGACCCCACCCACGCCCUGCAUUCUGCGCAGCACUCCAGCUACGGGCCUGCAUGCCGAGAGGUCUGCAGUUGUGGGUCCCAUGCCAUCCAGGACACGUAUGGAACGUAGCCUCCUGGCAGGACAGCUCCUCACGGCCCGGCUUGCAGUGGCAGCAAAGCCUAGAGCAUACAGUCCAAGUCAGCUCAAGCUCCUGGGGGCGCAUCCCGUUACCCGGACAAACUCCACGCACCGUGUCCCGCGCUCCAGCAGCGUCCGUGGCACUCUGGCUCUCUGGGCUCUGCACCAGCGUAGGGACACAGCUGCCUCCUCCUGGGUGCAUCAUCACAGGGCUCCGGCCCAGACCAGGACCAGAGCGCCGACUCUCCCCGUGGGGUGCUCUCUGAACCGCCCAGGUCUGGCUCAUCCCUGGGAGACCUCGAACCCAGCCACAGACUUGCAGACAGCACAGGAAAACAAAGGGACGCAAAGACUCCAACGACUGAGAGCGAGCGGCCAAAGGGGUCUCUACUGUCCACGGUCCCCAAGCUCACAACCCUAGGCCCUGCCAUCAAAGGGGCUACGGUUCUUGAGGCUACCUCUAAGGCUACCCCCACACACCCUGUUCCACGCGGACCAACAAACACGUUGGGUGAUGCAAGGACAUUCCCCAACUCACAAAACAUUUGAGUGCACAAAAAUAUACGAUGCAGCAGCAACCCCAAAUAAAGUGAGCGGACAUGUU